AUUGAACGCUGGCGGCAUGCUUUACACAUGCAAGUCGAACGGUAACAGGCCGCAAGGUGCUGACGAGUGGCGAACGGGUGCGUAAUGCAUCGGAACGUGCCCAGUCGUGGGGGAUAACUACUCGAAAGAGUAGCUAAUACCGCAUACGAUCUAUGGAUGAAAGCGGGGGACCGUAAGGCCUCGCGCGAUUGGAGCGGCCGAUGUCAGAUUAGGUAGUUGGUGGGGUAAAGGCUCACCAAGCCAACGAUCUGUAGCUGGUCUGAGAGGACGACCAGCCACACCGGGACUGAGACACGGCCCAGACUCCUACGGGAGGCAGCAGUGGGGAAUUUUGGACAAUGGGCGCAAGCCUGAUCCAGCAAUGCCGCGUGCAGGAAGAAGGCCUUCGGGUUGUAAACUGCUUUUGUACGGAACGAAACGGCUCUGGUUAAUACCCGGGGCUAAUGACGGUACCGUAAGAAUAAGCACCGGCUAACUACGUG
rnacentral:rRNA from 1 species